CAUAUACUAACAGGUGCGAUCAUACCAGCACUAAUGCACCGGAUCCCAUCAGAACUCCGCAGUUAAGCGUGCUUGGGCGAGAGUAGUACUAGGAUGGGUGACCUCCUGGGCAGUCCUCGUGUUGCACCAUUUUUUUGCUCCUCUUGAUUUUUUAUUUUUUUUGGGUCUUUUCAUUUGAAAAACAAGGCAUCUUCCGAACGACGCCAUUUCUAGACCGUGUGGAACCAUGCCUCCUACAGCAACUUUUCAGAAAGCCCCAAGAGUGCUCUCGGGCGUGCCCAAGGGUCUAAAGAGCAUGGGUGCUGUUACAAGGCCAAAAUUUUGAGUUUUAGACCCUCUUCCGGGCCAUUUUCUAAAACAUAAGCCCCGGUUUAAGUGUCGUCAAACGUUGUGUCCUAACUUAUAUAUCUUGCAACGAAUGCUCGUCGCAGGUGGGCGGGAAAACCAUUUAAAGAGUGCAACACACGUGAAGAGAUUUCAUUGCGGUCUCAAAGCCAAAGGAUAUAUGCUAUUGCGAUACAUAUACUAACGGGUGCGAUCAUAACAGCACUAAUGCACCGGAUCCCAUCAGAACUCCGCAGUAAAGCGUGCUUGGGCGAGAGUUGUACUAGGAUGGGUGACCUCCUUGGUAGUCCUCGUCUUGCACCCCUUUUUGUUCCUUUCGAUUGUUUUUGUUUUUUUGGGUCUUUUCAUUUGAAAAACAAGGCAUCUUCCGAACGACGCCUUUUCUAGACCGUGUGGAACCAUGCCUCCUACAGAAACUAUUCGGAAAGCCCCAAGUGUGCUCUCUGGCGUGUCCAAGGGUUUAAAGACUAUAGGUGCGGUAUACAAGGCCAAAAUUUCGAGUUUUAGACCCUCUUCUAGGCCCUUUUCUAAAACAUAAGCCCCAGUUUAAGUGUCGUCAAAUGUGGUGUCCUAAUUUAUAUAUCUUGCAACGAAUGCUCGUCGCAGCUGGGUGGGAAAAGCCAUAUAAAAAGUGUUACACACGCCAAGAGAUUCCAUUGCGGACUCAAAACAAAAGGAUAUAUGCUAUUGCGAUACAUAUACUAAUGGGUGCGAUCAUAACAGCACUAAUGCACCGGAUCCCAUCAGAACUCCGCAGUAAAGCGUGCUUGGGCGAGAGUUGUACUAGGAUGGGUGACCUCCUUGGUAGUCCUCGUCUUGCACCCCUUUUUUGUUCCUUUUAAUUCUUUGUUUUUUUUUUGGGUCUUUUCAUUUGAAAAACAAGGCAUCUUCCGAACGACACCAUUUCUAGACCGUGUGGAACCAUGCCUCCUACAGAAACUUUUCGGAAAGCCCCAAGUCUGCUCUAUGGCGUGUCCAAGGCUCUAAAGACUAUAGGUGCGGUAUACAAGGCCAAAAUUUCGAGUUUUAGACCCUCUUCUGGGCCCUUUUCUAAAACAUAAGCCCCAAUUUAGGUGUCGUCAAAUGUGGUGUCCUAACUUAUAUAUCUUGGCAUGAAUGCUGGUCGCGGCUGGGCAGGAAAAGACAUAUAAACAGUGCAACACACCCGAAGAGAUUUCAUUGCGGACUCAAAGCCAAAGGAUAUAUGCUAUUGCGAUACAUAUACUAACAGGUGUGAUCAUACCAGCACUAAUGCACCGGAUCCCAUUAGAACUCCGCAGUUAAGCGUGCUUGGGCGAGAGUAGUACUAGGAUGGGUGAUCUCCUGGGCAGUCCUCGUGUUGCACCAUUUUUUUGCUCCUCUUGAUUUUUUAUUUUUUUUGGGUCUUUUCAUUUGAAAAACAAGGCAUCUUCCGAACGACGCCUUUUCUAGACCGUGUGGAACCAUGCCUCCUACAGCAACUUUUCAGAAAGCCCCAAGAGUGCUCUCGGGCGUGCCCAAGGGACUAAAGAGCAUGGGUGCUGUUACAAGGCCAAAAUUUUGAGUUUUAGACCCUCUUCCGGGCCAUUUUCUAAAACAUAAGCCCCGGUUUAAGUGUCGUCAAACGUUGUGUCCUAACUUAUAUGUCUUGCAACGAAUGCUCGUCGCAGGUGGGCGGGAAAAGCCAUACAAACAGUGCAACACACGAGAAGAGAUUCCAUUGCGGUCUCAAAGCCAAAGGAUAAAUGCUAUUGCGAUACAUAUACUAACGGGUGCGAUCAUACCAGCACUAAUGCACCAGAUCCCAUCAGAACUCCGCAGUAAAGCAUGCUUGGGCGAGAGUUGUACUAGGAUGGGUGACCUCCUUGGAAGUCCUCGUCUUGCACCCCUUUUUGUUCCUUUCGAUUGUUUUUGUUUUUUUUGGGUCUUUUCAUUUGAAAAACAAGGCAUCUUCCGAACGACGCCUUUUCUAGACCGUGUGGAACCAUGCCUCCUACAGAAACUUUUCGGAAAGCCCCAAGUGUGCUCUCUGGCGUGUCCAAGGGUUUAAAGACUAUAGGUGCGGUAUACAAGGCCAAAAUUUCGAGUUUUAGACCCUCUUCUAGGCCCUUUUCUAAAACAUAAGCCCCAGUUUAAGUGUCGUCAAAUGUGGUGUCCUAAUUUAUAUAUCUUGCAACGAAUGCUCGUCGCAGCUGGGUGGGAAAAGCCAUAUAAAAAGUGUUACACACGCCAAGAGAUUCCAUUGCGGACUCAAAACAAAAGGAUAUAUGCUAUUGCGAUACAUAUACUAAUGGGUGCGAUCAUAACAGCACUAAUGCACCGGAUCCCAUCAGAACUCCGCAGUAAAGCGUGCUUGGGCGAGAGUUGUACUAGGAUGGGUGACCUCCUUGGUAGUCCUCGUCUUGCACCCCUUUUUUGUUCCUUUUAAUUCUUUGUUUUUUUUUUGGGUCUUUUCAUUUGAAAAACAAGGCAUCUUACGAAUGACACCAUUUCUAGACCGUGUGGAACCAUGCCUCCUACAGAAACUUUUUCGGAAAGCCCCAAGUCUGCUCUAUGGCGUGUCCAAGGCUCUAAAGACUAUAGGUGCAGUAUACAAAGGCCAAAAUUUCGAGUUUUAGACCCUCUUCUGGGGCCCUUUUCUAAAACAUAAGCCCCAAUUUAGGUGUCGUCAAAUGUGGUGUCCUAACUUAUAUACCGCCGAUAAAGGCUUCUCCGCGGCUGGGCAGGAAAAGACAUAUAAACAGUGCAACACACCCGAAGAGAUUUCAUUGCGGACUCAAAGCCAAAGGAUAUAUGCUAUUGCGAUACAUAUACUAACAGGUGCGAUCAUACCAGCACUAAUGCACCGGAUCCCAUCAGAACUCCGCAGUUAAGCGUGCUUGGGCGAGAGUAGUACUAGGAUGGGUGACCUCCUGGGCAGUCCUCGUGUUGCACCAUUUUUUUGCUCCUCUUGAUUUUUUAUUUUUUUUGGGUCUUUUCAUUUGAAAAACAAGGCAUCUUCCGAACGACGCCAUUUCUAGACCGUGUGGAACCAUGCCUCCUACAGCAACUUUUCAGAAAGCCCCAAGAGUGCUCUCGGGCGUGCCCAAGGGUCUAAAGAGCAUGGGUGCUGUUACAAGGCCAAAAUUUUGAGUUUUAGACCCUCUUCCGGGCCAUUUUCUAAAACAUAAGCCCCGGUUUAAGUGUCGUCAAACGUUGUGUCCUAACUUAUAUAUCUUGCAACGAAUGCUCGUCGCAGGUGGGCGG
rnacentral:lncRNA from 1 species